CAUCAUCUGUGGGGCCUCCUCCUACCCCUACAAUACAGCCUCCUACCCUUGCAGUAGACCUUACACCUACCUUUGCAAUACACCGUUAUCCUACCCAUGCAGUACACCCUUCUCCUACUCCUGUAGCACACCCUUCUACUACCGUUGCAGCAGACCCUCUUCCUCCUCCUGUGCUUAUAACCCCCACUCCUCUCCCUGUGGUUAUUAUCCCCACUCCUCUCGCUGACCCUACUUCUAUACCUUCCUCAUCUUCUAUACCACCUUUUGAGACUGUCACACCAUCUACUGAUCCAGAUUCAAGUGGUGAUGAUGAAGGCUUGACCCACCCCUCCAUGAUCAACCAUGGAUUGAGCCGUAUGGUAAAGGGUUUAUUCCAUCUAGGGUUGCUUCGCAAGCCAUCACACGUUCAAUUAAGCAACAGUUUUUAAGUCCAUGGCCUACUUGGGGAGAAAUACCUGAUGGCGACAAAAAGCCAUUCUGGGAGCGCUUUCAGAUGAAGGUGUAGUGGAAACCUGAACAUGAAACACAAAUACACAGAAAUUUCCACAUGAAAGCAUCACAUCGGCUGUCAAAGAUGUUUAGGGAUGCCCGCAAUGCAGGAGAGCACCCUUACUGGCUGGGCGAACAAAUUUGGAACUCUUUACUGGCUCAUUGGAAUACAGUAGAGUUUCACAAUAAGUGUGCCAAGACGUAGAGAAACAGAGCAUCUGAAAAGGGUGGCACCCUGCAUACUGGUGGGUCGAUAACCAUUCAUGAGCAUGCCAUUCGUAUGGCACAAGCUCUGGGACGGGCGGUCCAUGUUGAUGAGGUCUUUGCACAGACUCAUGUAAGGAAGGGCACUAAUCAAUUCGUUGAUGAAAGAUCUCGGACGACUCAUAAUUUUCUACGAGACUUUCACAGGUUAGAUCUGAACAUGAGUCAGCUCCUACACCGGAUGAUGGCAGUAAUGCAGAAGACGACAUACGUAGGACACAGUGCUGGGUCGAGAUCGUUGGUGGGAAGAAAAAGGGCCGACUGUACGGUGCAUGACAACUUGAUGCAAACUAUACAACAUCGAAAGGAGGUACUCUGAAGCACCAACCUUCUUCUUCCACCACUGCUCCUGACGAGGUCGUUCUCCGCCUCAUGCAGGCACUGGAGCAACGUGACCAGGAAAUCACUGAUCUGAGAGCAGAGUUUACAAACUUUAAGGCCCUGGUCAUGAGAGUGUUGCCUGAAACUUCACAGGAUGAAUUGAAUAUCCCUCCGACCCAACCACGACCCUCCUCGUCACUCGCUGCCCCUCAGCAGCCCACAUCAGUCCAACCCUCAUCAGUCCAACCCACACCAGUCCAGCCAUUAAUAGAGGAGCACGAUGAUGAAGAUCAUUCUGAUGAUAACUAUGUACAUUAUUAGUUUCAUUUUGUUAUUACUUGUUAUAGAAAAAUUUGGAUAUUAGAACAUUUGGAGUUUAGAUGAUUUCGAUGUUAGAUCAAUUGGAUGACUUUGGAUGUUACAAUAUCAUUAUGUUACAUUGUUU